rnacentral:tRNA from 1 species
GGGGUGAUAGCUCAGUUGGGAGAGCGCACGACUGAAGAUCCACUCAGUCAGUCAGUUUAUCUGGCAAUCGUGAGGUCACCGGUUCAAUCCCGGUUCAUCCCA